rnacentral:lncRNA from 1 species
AGGAGGAGUCCACUAUAAGAGAAUUUCAUUCUUUUUAAGAUAUGUCAGAGAUUCACUGAUGAGGUAUUCACCUUCUCGAUCUGAUCGAAGGAUCUUACUACUCUUUUCAGUCUAUUUCUCUGUUUCAGUACAGAAUCAUUUGAAUAUUUUAAAUGAUUUUGACUUGUGCUUUAUAAGAUAGACAUACCCAUAUCUCGAU